AUUGAACGCUGGCGGCAGGCUUAACACAUGCAAGUCGAACGAGUGGCGGACGGGUGAGUAAUGUCUGGGAAACUGCCAUAUAGAGGGGGAUAACUACUGGAAAAGGUGGCUAAUACCGCAUACUUUGGGAUGUGCCAAGAUGGGAUUAGCUAGUUGGUGGGGUAAAGGCUCACCUAGGCGACGAUCCCUAGCUGGUCUGAGAGGACGACCAUCCAACCUGGAACUGAGACACGGUCCAGACUCCUCCGUGAGGCAGCAGUGGGGAAUAUUGCACAAUGGGCGAAAGCCUGAUGCAGCCAUGCCGCGUGUAUGAAGAAGGCCUUCGGGUUGUAAAGUACUUUUAGCGGGGAGGCGGUACCCGCAGAAGAAGCACCGGCUAACUCCGUGCCAGCAGCCGCGGUAAUAC
rnacentral:rRNA from 1 species